rnacentral:rRNA from 1 species
UACGUAGGGCGCAAGCGUUGUCCGGAAUUAUUGGGCGUAAAGAGCUCGUAGGCGGUGUGUCGCGUCGGCCGUGAAAACCUGCAGCUUAACUGUGGGCUUGCGGUCGAUACGGGCAUCACUGGAGUUCGGCAGGGGAGACUGGAAUCUGGUGUAGCGGUGAAAUGCGCAGAUAUCAGGAGGAACACCGGUGGCGAAGGCGGGUCUCUGGGCCGAUACUGACGCUGAGGAGCGAAAGCGUGGGGAGCGAACAGG